rnacentral:rRNA from 1 species
GACGAACGCUGGCGGCGUGCUUAACACAUGCAAGUCGAACGGAAAGGCCCUGCUUUUGUGGGGUGCUCGAGUGGCGAACGGGUGAGUAACACGUGAGUAACCUGCCCUUGACUUUGGGAUAACUUCAGGAAACUGGGGCUAAUACCGGAUAGGAGCUCCUGCUGCAUGGUGGGGGUUGGAAAGUUUCGGCGGUUGGGGAUGGACUCGCGGCUUAUCAGCUUGUUGGUGGGGUAGUGGCUUACCAAGGCUUUGACGGGUAGCCGGCCUGAGAGGGUGACCGGCCACAUUGGGACUGAGAUACGGCCCAGACUCCUACGGGAGGCAGCAGUGGGGAAUAUUGCACAAUGGGCGGAAGCCUGAUGCAGCAACGCCGCGUGCGGGAUGACGGCCUUCGGGUUGUAAACCGCUUUCGCCUGUGACGAAGCGUGAGUGACGGUAAUGGGUAAAGAAGCACCGGCUAACUACGUGCCAGCAGCCGCGGUGAUACGUAGGGUGCGAGCGUUGUCCGGAUUUAUUGGGCGUAAAGGGCUCGUAGGUGGUUGAUCGCGUCGGAAGUGUAAUCUUGGGGCUUAACCCUGAGCGUGCUUUCGAUACGGGUUGACUUGAGGAAGGUAGGGGAGAAUGGAAUUCCUGGUGGAGCGGUGGAAUGCGCAGAUAUCAGGAGGAACACCAGUGGCGAAGGCGGUUCUCUGGGCCUUUCCUGACGCUGAGGAGCGAAAGCGUGGGGAGCGAACAGGCUUAGAUACCCUGGUAGUCCACGCUGUAAACGGUGGGUACUAGGUGUGGGGUCCAUUCCACGGGUUCCGUGCCGUAGCUAACGCUUUAAGUACCCCGCCUGGGGAGUACGGCCGCAAGGCUAAAACUCAAAGGAAUUGACGGGGCCCCGCACAAGCGGCGGAGCAUGCGGAUUAAUUCGAUGCAACGCGUAGAACCUUACCUGGGUUUGACAUGGAUCGGGAGCGCCCAGAGAUGGGUGUGCCUCUUUUGGGGUCGGUUCACAGGUGGUGCAUGGCUGUCGUCAGCUCGUGUCGUGAGAUGUUGGGUUAAGUCCCGCAACGAGCGCAACCCUUGUUCACUGUUGCCAGCACGUUAUGGUGGGGACUCAGUGGAGACCGCCGGGGUCAACUCGGAGGAAGGUGGGGAUGACGUCAAGUCAUCAUGCCCCUUAUGUCCAGGGCUUCACGCAUGCUACAAUGGCUGGUACAGAGAGUGGCGAGCCUGUGAGGGUGAGCGAAUCUCGGAAAGCCGGUCUCAGUUCGGAUUGGGGUCUGCAACUCGACCUCAUGAAGUCGGAGUCGCUAGUAAUCGCAGAUCAGCAACGCUGCGGUGAAUACGUUCCCGGG